GGUCUCGUGGUGUAGUGGUUAUCACGUCUGCCUGUCACGCAGAAGAUCGCGAGUUCGAACCUCGUCGAGACCGCCA
rnacentral:tRNA from 1 species